GAAAAAACUGGCAUGGUGUAGAAGUGUCCCUUUCAUUGGUGGUAGGCAAAAGGCGGAUCAUUGGCAGCUUUACCGUGUAAUAAUGAACUUUGAAGCUAAUGGUUUAACACUGAUGUUGGCCGCCUUCACCUAAUUGGAUAUCAUAAAAGCUAAUACAGUUUCAACAGUGAAGCCUCGAGUAAAGCUAACUUCGAUCCACCCAAGGGAAAACAAAUCGUAAGACAAAUCAAAUUCCCUUCGCCAGUAGCAGGAGUUACGGCGUGUUGAGUAAGUAUGGUGGACUGCGUCAUCAGCGCCUACGAUUUCAGCGAUUAUGCAUCUAUGUUAAGUGACAGCAAUUCG